GAUGAACGCUGGCGGCGUGCCUAAUACAUGCAAGUCGAACGCUGAAGGAAGGAGCUUGCUCUUUCCGGAUGAGUUGCGAACGGGUGAGUAACGCGUAGGUAACCUGCCUGGUAGCGGGGGAUAACUAUUGGAAACGAUAGCUAAUACCGCAUAACAGUAGAUGUUGCAUGAUAUCUACUUAAAAGGUGCAAUUGCACCACUACCAGAUGGACCUGCGUUGUAUUAGCUAGUUGGUGAGGUAACGGCUCACCAAGGCGACGAUACAUAGCCGACCUGAGAGGGUGAUCGGCCACACUGGGACUGAGACACGGCCCAGACUCCUACGGGAGGCAGCAGUAGGGAAUCUUCGGCAAUGGACGGAAGUCUGACCGAGCAACGCCGCGGGAGUGAAGAAGGGUUUCGGAUCGUAAAGCUCUGUUGUAAGAGAAGAACGAGUGUGAGAGUGGAAAGUUCACACUGUGACGGUAGCUUACCAGAAAGGGACGGCUAACUACGUG
rnacentral:rRNA from 1 species